AUGUGCCCUAGAGUACAGGAGCGCCAGCAGACUGAAGAGCCAUCUCCAGGAACCAGAAAGGACAGCUGCCAUCAGGACCGACAUCAGCUUCAGCUACCCAAGCUGUCCGAAGUGUCUGAACUUGCCUGGGUUUUUUGUUUUUUUUUUUUUUUGAGUGUGAUACAGCAGCAGGCUGGCUGCAGGAGGUCUGAUCCUGCCUGUAACCCAAGCUUCUGCUGCCGUGCUUGUCCCUGCCAAAAGCAGAGGCUGUGGAUCAGCGACCUGAUGCGAAUUUGUGCUGAAAGUUACUCAGUGAAGUCCAGACAGCUGCAGCUGAGGAUGGGCUGUCAGCGCAAGGAGGAGGAAUAGAGCCACCACACAGCAGAGGGAUGAAGGAGAAAUUACCCAACAAGAUAAAGGAGCUCAACAGAAAGCAUACAGUUUUAAAUAACAGAUACUGCUUUAAAAGUAAUCCUGGUGCCAUAAUAUUCAUUAUAUGCACAUGAAAUAUGCAUAGUGCGUGACAAUGAAUGUAUUUCAGAACAAAGGAGAAAUAAGACACAAGAGAGUGACAUUACUGCACAGACUGAUGUAGGGGCUUCUGCAGUUCAUUGGUGAUAGACAUCCAUCCAAAAGACUCCAAAUCCCUACACCCAACCUAAUCCUAAAGCAUUUGGCUUCCAGACCGCCAGUGCUCUCCAUCUUUUCUGUCAUCAGAUGUGAAUCAUUUGGAUUAUCCUGCUUUUUCUAAUAUUCAAGUGGACUUUCCAUCAGGAAUUCCCUCAUGCCUUACCUCUUACAGACUGUUUCUUACUCUAUUGACAAAAUGAAGUUUUGGAUAUUUUGACAAAAUAUCUUCCUUGUUUUUCCUUUGUUUUGCUCCUCUUUUCUUUGGUUCUCUUCCUAGUUCCUGCUCACUAUCUCACUCAAUCUUUUGCAGAGAAACUGCAAAAAUGACAAGAAAUGGUAUAAAGAGGUGUUCUGUAUGUGGUGUUUUCAUGUAUCACAAAGUUUUCAUAUUUGGCACAAUAAUUUUAAAACUAUUUGGCUAAUCCUGCAUUUUCAAAACUAUGAAAAGCCUCUGGAACAGCAAGAAGAAAAUCAGAAAUUGAUACAUGAGAUUUGUGCAAGCAAAAUUAGAUCAUUUGUAUUUCAAAACUAAGAGGCUAUGAAGAAAUUA
rnacentral:lncRNA from 1 species